UGUCUCCUCCAACACCUCAUAAGGUUUGGAUUCAAGCCCGCAACGAAAGUUAGCGGGCUUUUUUUU
rnacentral:ncRNA from 1 species